GCUCUCCGGAGAAGUCCGAUUUUUGGAUGCCGAAGGUGCAAGGCCCAUAAAGCCAAUCUCUCAGGCAAAAGGACGGAGUU
rnacentral:ncRNA from 1 species